UACGUAGGUGGCUAGCGUUGUCCGGAAUCAUUGGGCGUAAAGCGCGUGUAGGCGGUCCGGUAAGUCCGCUGUGAAAGUCGAGGGCUCAACCCUCGAAUGCCGGUGGAUACUGUCGGGCUUGAGUACGGGAGAGGCGAGUGGAAUUCCUGGUGUAGCGGUGAAAUGCGCAGAUAUCAGGAGGAACACCGAGUGCGAAGGCAGCUCGCUGGAACGUUACUGACGCUGAGACGCGAAAGCGUGGGGAGCAAACAGG
rnacentral:rRNA from 1 species